rnacentral:rRNA from 1 species
CAAUAGCGUAUAUUAAAGUUGUUGCAGUUAAAAAGCUCGUAGUUGGAUUUCUGGCGACUUUAGUGGUCCAAUUUUUUGGUUCCACAUAAAGCCUGCCAUCUUUGGGUGGAGCCUGUGUGGCAUUAGGUUGUCAUGCAGGGGAUGCCCAUCGUUUACUGUGAAGAAAUUAGAGUGUUCAAAGCAGGCUUAUGCCGUUGAAUAUAUUAGCAUGGAAUAAUAAGAUAGGACCUCGGUACUAUUUUGUUGGUUUGUGCACUGAGGUAAUGAUUAAUAGGGACAGUUGGGGGUAUUUGUAUUCCAUUGUCAGAGGUGAAAUUCUUGGAUUUUUGGAAGACAAACUACUGCGAAAGCAUUUACCAAGGAUGUUUUCAUUAA